rnacentral:misc_RNA from 1 species
AACUGAUACUACCUGCGGGAACCUGCGGAGGGAUCAUUACAGGACUCGCAAGACUCCUACAACCCUGUGAACUUAACUAUAAGCACGUUGCUUCGGCGGGUGUCUCGGCGAGGGUUCUCCCUCCCCGGGGCGCUAAGCCCGCCGGCAGCCUACUAUACUCUGUCUCUUUGCGUUGGCAUCUCGAGUACAAACAAACAAGUUAAAACUUUUAACAACGGAUCUCUAGAUCGGAAGAGCACA